rnacentral:rRNA from 1 species
CAGCAGCCACGGUAAUACGGAGGGAGCUAGCGUUGUUCGGAAUUACUGGGCGUAAAGCGCACGUAGGCGGCUUUGUAAGUUAGAGGUGAAAGCCUGGAGCUCAACUCCAGAAUUGCCUUUAAGACUGCAUCGCUUGAAUCCAGGAGAGGUGAGUGGAAUUCCGAGUGUAGAGGUGAAAUUCGUAGAUAUUCGGAAGAACACCAGUGGCGAAGGCGGCUCACUGGACUGGUAUUGACGCUGAGGUGCGAAAGCGUGGGGAGCAAACAGGAUUAGAUACCCCAGUAGUCCCUGUCUCUUAUAC